UACGAAGGUGGCAAGCGUUGUUCGGAUUCACUGGGCGUACAGGGUGUGUAGGCGGUUUGGUAAGCCUUUUGUGAAAGCUUCGGGCCUAACCCGGAAAGCGCAGAGGGGACUGCCAGGCUAGAGGACGGGAGAGGAGCGCGGAAUUCCCGGUGUAGCGGUGAAAUGCGUAGAGAUCGGGAGGAAGGCCGGUGGCGAAGGCAGCCCCCUGGGCUAACACUGACGCUCAUGCACGAAAGCGUGGGGAGCAAACAGG
rnacentral:rRNA from 1 species